UACUGCCAUCCGCACCAGUGUCUAA
rnacentral:misc_RNA from 1 species